rnacentral:lncRNA from 1 species
AUGUUCAUGCAAUAAGAAUGGAACAUUCAAAAACAUGGAAUCCACAGGCAGAAUAAGAUCACUAAUUGUCAUACCAUAUGACAUAGCAAACAUGUUCAAACACAAACUACAUAGCUGCAACUAUACAUUCCACAGUAUGGAAUCAUAGAAGCUUAGUAAGCAGAAGAGCACAAAUAAUACAAGCAUACCCAAUGUUCUUCAUAAAUACGAGUCAUAGCAGCAAAAGUAGCAGCAGAUCACUGCUCACUUCGUAAUUAGUCCCACAUGGCCCUGAACCAAUUCAACCAUCCACGCUGCUCCUUCCUCCCCAUCCUCCUCCCAAAUUUGAGCUCCUUCUUGCCCAUCUCCAUCUCCUCCUCAUCAUCGGAGUCCGAAUCCGAGUCCUCCUCGUCGGCCCUCUUCUUCUUGUGCUCCUUGUUCUUUCUCGUCCUCCUCCUCUCCCCUUCCCACUCCGUCGCCAAAGGCCACUCCAUCCGGCCCUCCCUGCCCUCGGCCUCAGAUCCGGCGUCCACUUCGCCGCCCUUGGGGAGCGGGAUCAUGUCGUUUCCGUAGGGGACGAUCCUGACGCCGUGGAACCGGUGGCCGUGGCGGUCGUGGUGGUGGUGGUGGCAGCGGUGGCGGCGGAAGUGGUGGUGCACGGGGCGGCGAAGAGAGAGGUCAACGUGGUCGAAUCCCUCGACGAAUUCGGGGAUGGGAUGCUCCGACGUUAUCUUCUCGAUCGAGGCGGUUAGGGUUGUCAGGUCCGCAUCCUCGGCCGGGACCAGUUCGGCGGUCGUCGGAUCGAAGUCCUCCGGCACCUCACGGAAGUCGACGGCCGUGGUCGCGUCGGGGGCGAGGGGGACGCGGGUGGCGUGGGAGAGAAGGAAGAGGAGGGAGAAGACGACGGAGAGGAUGACGGAGAUCUUGACGGAAACCAUGGAUUCGGGUAACGGCGGUCAAUUCUAAGAAAUGUGCGUUUGUGGGACGCUCUGCAUCCGUUAUUUAUAGAUGAAGGCAACGGAGUGACCGGUCAACCUCGAUGGUAAGAAUAAAACCACUCAUUUUUAAUACUUUUAAUUUGUUUUUCUUAAAUAUUCUUUAAGUUUGAUUUAUAGAUGAUAAUUAUCAUAUAAAUAGUUAUAGUUCCCAGAAAAUGCUUUUGCUUUUUAUAAAAUAAAGCAUCUUAAAUAGUAUCUUAAAUUAAACAAUUAAUUUUCUUAAAUAGUAUCUUUAAUUAAAAAAUAUAUUAACUAUCUUUCAAAAAUUUUCUAGUGUUUUAACCUGUUAUAAUAUUUUGAUCAUCAAAAUAAAAACAUUAUAAGACUUACACAGUAAAAGUAUUGUAAGAUCAAUUCAAAAAUAUUAUAAAUAAUCUACAUGAACGUUUAACCUUAAUCAAAUUAAUUAUAAAUAUAAAAAUAUAAUAUUAUAAUAAUCUAUGAGCAAUAACAAUCAACAAUAUGAUAUCACUUAUAAUAUUUUUAAUAUCUUAAUAAAUCACUAUAACGUCAUUGGAAAACAUGGUAAAGAAGUCAAAUGAAAAUAUUCUAAUAGUUAAAAACUGAUUAAAAAUAUACAAAAAUGUUUGAUACAAUUUUUUUAGGGAUAUUUUAGGUUUUUUAAAAUUAGAGAUACUGUUUGAAAAAAAGAGAAAUUUUUUUCAAAAAAAAUAUAUAAAAUAUGAAAACUCGAGGAUUAAGUAUUUAGAUAUCUUUUUCCCGACAUCAACUGAAUUAAACUAGCAAAAAGAAUAUAAUAUAUCAGAGAGCAUAUAAAUACAUUGCUUGUUUCCUAUUUUAAAUUUUACAGCCUGGCACCACACAACUAUUAUAGUCUUAGAAUUUACGUGUAUUCGGUGCAGGUUAAACGUGGAAAGUCGUCUGAAUCAAUUAGUUUAAUUACGACCUGCUUCACUUUCUCUGGACUGCACAACACGCGGACGAUUUAGUCAAACGAUUACGCACACGCUGCUGUCAUUGAUUGCAACAACACACCAAUAUAAUCUUCGUUCCUUCAAUCAUGUUGCAUUGCUUAACAACGAAGGAGCCUCAGUCAAUUGUAUCUCCAAAUUGACCACUGCAGCUGUUCGUGGACUUCGUCCCUAAAGGACAACAUGUGGGAAAGAUCGAGAAGACAAGAAGGUCGGAAGAGGAGAUGGAGAGGAAGAGGUCGGUCACGGGUAGGAUUCUAGGAGAUAGAAAACUAUUAACAGGAAAUGGAUAAAAAGAGGGAAAAGAUAUAAAUAAAAUAAUUAUAUUAUAUGUGGGUUAACAAUUGUGAUUUAUAUUAGUUAUGAUUGAAUAACUUGGUACUUUGGAGGAUUUGGAUUUGGAUUUGGAUGAUAUAAGAUAGGAAAAUUAUGGCUUCUCCCUAAAUAUUUCUUUUUCAUACAUUUUCUAUUUUCACAUAAAAUUUCUGGCACCUCCGCUUUCCGUUGAUCCUAUACGACAAAGGUCCGAUGGGCUUUCCCUUUAGCCCAAUGCAGGUCCCUAACUCGACUUCCGCCCGCUCACCCUUCACUCGAUUCUCUGCCCUCGCUUUCGCCUAAUCCCUAAUCGAGUCACUCUUCGGCUCCGACAUGGUCGAUGGUGCCAAUGCCCUCCUCGCUGAUUCCUUCGCGGAAACCUCAACUUUCCCACGGACCCGUUUCUUCGGUCUCCUCCUCUCUCUCUACCCUGUCAAAUCCGAUGAUUCUUUGCCGCCGCAUCCUUUCGCUACUCCAUUCGGUGACCCUCAGAAUUCUGAUGAAUUGCCACUGCAAGUCGGGCCGCUUGGACGUCGCACACCAAGUGUUCGAUCAUACGAUAUAUGGUUAUUGAACUCCACGUGAUCCCUUGCAAUGUAUUAAUCCAAUUCUUCAGAAGGAAAGGACGGAUCUUUGAUGCAUUCAACGGUCUACGUGAGACGCGGAAGAGCAGGCCGAAUCGGCGGGCAUACGCAAUUGCAGACGAUGCGGAAGACGGUUCUUUUAACGUGACUCGUUUGCGAAUUAGGUUGGUUCCGAGUGCGAUCGCUUGUAAUUAUGGUUUCGAUGGGCUUGAUAAAGAAGGAAAGGUGCAAGCUUCGAGGGUUCAAGUUGGAAAACAGGGGAAAUGUGGUAUCAUAAGCUGGUUUUACCAGUAAAAGAAAGAUUGAAGAUGCAAAGUAUGGUUUUUGUCGAUAUGUCUGACAAGGGGUUAUGUCCGGAUGCUACGACAUACGCAGGCAAAUUUAAUAAUUUAUUCUAUUGUCUCGCAGGUGUUUUGCAUAGAGUUGAGAUUGAGGAAUAAUUUUGGUGCUUCACGAAUUUUUUUCUAACUGCUGUUGUGCAUCUACUGGUAAUUCCUCUUAUUCUCAAAUAUGUUUGUCAGUUUGUUCAACUUGCCAUUCUCAGAACACAAGAAACAACCAAAACAAAUUAGAAAAGGUUUCAUCAUGAGAAAUGCUGACGCAAUGUGGAUCUUAAGCUACAGUUUUGAGGAGAAAUUAAUUCAAAAUAUGAAGUUAGAAAAUAUGAAGUUGUGCUACCUAAGACUUCAAAGCUGAUGACGCUGGUAAUAAACUUCAUGGUGCUAUCAAGGAUAUAGUGGCUUGGUCUAGUGAACUUUGAAACUCUGAUUAUUUGAUCUAAACUUUGGUAUCAGUGCUUUUUUACAUUCACAUUGUUUGUUAAAAUUUUUGUUGCAUUCAUGUAUCUAUUUAGGCUUUAUUAGUUUGCGUUUUCUUUUCUUGUAUGCAUUUUGGGGAAAAUGAGUUAUGAGGGUCACCUCACAUACAUGGGAGGCAGAAGGUUCUCAAAAAUCUGAGAAUUAGUUUCUAGAUUUUUUUAUGAAUUACUUUCCAAUCUUCUUUUCCUUUUGUUGUUGUCGUUACUGUCGGAUGUGAGUUUCUUUUAGUUUGUUUCAGUAUUCUUGUGUAAUUUUUCCAUGCUGAUAGAUGUAUAAUGAUGGUAUGUCUCAUCAGUGAUGAUUGUGGUACUAAGGAAGCAGAACUUGUAUGUCUGUUGUAGCAAUUCACCUUUAUCUUAUGAUGCCAUGAAGGUUUCAUACAUCAUAUUGAACUUUUUGAUCACAUCUGUUUUUGUAAAUGUUUCGUUCUGCUUGUUUUACAUAUUUGGGAAUCUAGGUAAAAAGGAUAUUUAUGUACUUGCCAUAAUACUUGUAAAUUGCAUUUGCUUUGUUUUUGUCGAACAUCUUCUGUGCAUUCAUGUGGUGACUAUUUAUUUGUCUGAAAACUAUCCUUCCACCCAGUUGUGCUAGACAAUAUUUCUUUAUGAGCAAACCCACACUGCUUUCGUGCAGGGCACUAGGUUCUAACUUUGACCUUGCAGAGUAUAGCUUCUGACAAUGGCUUUAUCAUGACGGAGCUGCAUGUUGAGAUUAGUAAUGUGUCCACCAUAGUGGUUGCUACAUUGACUGCAUUUCCACAUUCCAGACAGUAGAAUUUGCUACUGGAGAUUGUGGUGACACUCUCUGCACAAUAAUAAAGUAAAAGCUUUUGAUGUAUUUGUGCCAGUACAUUCUAGUGUGCAUGUGCAUUUGAAGCACGUCUGUUUGUACAAUGCAAAUAUAUGCAAAUGCUACUUGUGUAAUUCAUUAGCUUUAGGUUUAUAAAUGUAGCACAAUCAUGAUCAAUGUUUUAUUUUAGUCUUUGACAAUAUGCAGAAUUGAGACUUGUAGUUACAUGAGAUAAUAUCAAAGGUGUGGUUGUUUAUCCUCCUCAACAUAACUCAUUGCUAAAUAGCUCCUCUUGUUUUCUCUUGCACUAAUAAUAACUUACAUGAUGUAAAUUGCAAACUCAUGAGUAUUUUCACAUUUUCUCGCUGGCAUAGUCUUAUUAUUUUGAUAUAUAUUGAUCCUCAACAAGUAUAGCAAUAUUAGUCUUUAGUUUUGAACUUAUUUCUGAUUGUCUUGCAGUUCUUUGUUCACCUAAGUGGUAUUGUGAAAUAAUAGGAUUGGUUCUUGCCAUGUUCUUCUGCAUACAACCAUAUAUUUGAUCACUUCAUAUCUGUCUGAACUAAUUUGCUUCUCUAAAUAAGCUGCAAUUCAAGUGUAAAUUUAAUUUUGACUCGGAACCACCAAAACUACCUGGUUCUCAUUAGAGAGACUUAACACAAUCAAACUUGUAGAAGCACAAGGACAAGGCAUCUCUACAGUCUUUUAGAUAAUAAAGCUUGAAUAUAAGUACUUGAACUAAUCUAAGUCAAAUCAAAUCUAACUUAUAAAAGCACAAGGAAAUAACAUCUCUAGAGAUUUUGGUAGAUGAUAAAAGCUUGUCUCUAGUUACUUGAAAUUAAGUAUUCAAAAAUCUAUUAGUCACCUAUAUGAUGAAAACAAAGAGAUGCUACUAACUUCAUUCCAGUUGUUUGUUUCAUUUUCUUGUGUCUUCUUAUCCUUGGUGUUUGUAUUUUCUUAACAAACCCAAUGAAUUUUCUUUAGAAGAAAAUUUUCAAUGUAGUAUCAUGAUUUCAACUUUCAUGCCCAGUAAAAUUUUGACACAUCCUAUGUGCAUGCUACAGAUAUGACUAUGUUUCAUCUAACACGUCCAGAGAUAUACAUAUUUGUAUAGCCCCACACGCUUAUUCAACUCUUAGCUCCUAGUGGUCUCUGAUACAGAUCCAUUCCUGUUUCUAGACUGCUGGUUCAUGUAGCUAUAUUCAUAAUGAUUGUGAUACCAAUGUAGCAGGGUUUGCUUCCCACUGUCUUGGCAAUAACCAGUUAACCACUAGUCUUUUUUUCACUUUAUUUUGCCACAUAUUUCUUUCAUCAUCUUAUAUGAGAAAGUUACUGUUAUCAACUGUAGUCAGAGAACCAACAUAUUUUCAUUGGUGAAAAACUUGUACUGAAGAAUGUGCUAGAACAAAAACCUGGAAUCUUACAUGUAAGAUCAUGUCAUCCAGAUCAAUAGUAUCUCCAUUGUCUUUCACAGUCUACAAGGGACUCUUAACUUGUGUCUCCCUUCAGGGCAGUGGGGACUCUCAAACACCAGGAGACCCCAGCUUAUUGGUGACUACUGUUUACUACUAUGCAUGGACAAACUGGGCAAACAAUAAAAGUAUCUGAUCUUCCCAAGUUAUUUAUUAGUAGAACUACCCAAUACUUAGUCCAGUGUCAUCAGCUCAUUGCUGGUGGUUGACUUUCUUCUCUCUGGGUUGCAAGUGGAUGAAUGAUGAAACUGGCAAGGCUGUUUGCACUUCUACUGUUUCGGUUUGGUUUAUUCCAGAGAAUCACAUCCAGGGAUGAGAUUAUUAAACUUGCUUAUCUUGCUAACUCUGCUUGAACUUAUGGAAAGUGUACUCAUGGCAUCUUUGCAUUGCCAGCAUUGUUGGUUUACAAUUAGCAACUACAGCAUGAUGCAUAUUGGUCAACCAUAAGGAUCAUCUUAUGUGUGUGCACUGCAGAUACUUUUAUCUGGAUAUCUGACCACUGAGCAUUUGCUGCUGUUUCUGAGACUAAUGCACCACUACAAAUGCUUCAUCAUCUGUAGUUGUACACCUUCUUGUGCAAUUCAUAUAUCACCUAUUCAAACACUCGAGUGAUGGGCAAGUUAUCUACUCUCUCAAGUGAUGGAAUAAGCUAUUUGAUGACCAGUUCAGUGCAAGUAAACUGGACACCAGCUUCUGACAUUUGCUUAUUAAUGGUCACUGAGUUUAAGGGCUGAGUACAUGACUUCCCUUGUUCCCUGAGGAUUGUACAAAGGACAGAUAUUACUAGUAAACUGCCUUGAGUCAACUGUAGGUAUUACAGUAUUGCUGUUUAGGUAAUGUGCAGUUUUUGUUAUUAGAAAACUGCUAGUGGUCAAAGCAUCUCUCAUAUUCCCAAUAGCUUUGCUCCAAAAGAUAAUCUGAUCUGAGUCUCAAAAACAUUAGCCACAAGAUGAGUUUUUUUUUUAUUUAAAUCAUGUUAGACUUUUUGGGCUUCCAUACAAAAUAAAAGCUUUCCAAAGUCAAACUAUGAAAACCACAUAGAGCCUGACUUCAAAAACAGAGUCUCAUGAAAUUUCCUGGCAGCUCUGGACUGAGUUUACUACACUAGUAUUUGGUACAGUCAACUGUAUUAUUCAUUCCAAGCUUGAAGACGCAUCUCCUGCAGUCAAGCAAGCUCUUGGUUCUUCUCAACCACUCUCACCUCCUUUGCAGAUCUGAGAAUGGCUGCCUGAAGGAAGGAGGACAUCAAAAGACAACAUGGCAUUUCCAUCAGGGGUGACACAAAACAUCUUAAAUCCAAGAAGGAAUACCUGCUUUUUGGUUAUCUCCACUGAGAAGCCAUCAACAAUUGCCAGAGAGGACUUCUUCCUGUAGGAGUUUGGUGGGAGAAGCUUUGCCAGUAGCUGGUCAUGCUUGUGACUCAG